rnacentral:lncRNA from 1 species
UGCUCCUGACACUCAAAUUCCAAUUUAUGCAAACUCCAAGUGGCUUGCUUGGGCCAAAAGCCUUCAGAUAUUCUACCUUUAUCAGCUUCAGAGGUUCAGACACUCGAUGUGGUUUUAGUGGCUUCCUCAAUAAAUAUCUGAUUGAUCGUGGAUUCCGCACCUUCUUCGAUGAUGGGGAGCUUGAAAGAGGGACCCAAAUAACGGUAGAAAUUCCUAAGGCAAUUGAAGAGUCCAGGAUUUUCAUCCCAGUUUUAUCAGAAAAUUAUGCAUCUUCUUCAUUUUGCUUAGACGAACUUGUGAAGAUCCUUGAAGAGUUUAAAAAAGGAAAUGGUCGAUGGGUUUUUCCAGUUUUCUAUUACAUUAAUAUCUCUGAUGUGAAGAAUCAAACUGGCAGUUAUGGACAAGCAUUGGCUGUUCACAAGAACCGUGUCAUGCCUGAGAGGUUUGAGAAAUGGAUCAACGCCUUGGCUUCAGUCGCUGACUUUCGCGGCUGCCAUAUGGAAAGGUAGCUAACCAAUCUUUUCCCCCUUAAUGUUUAUUUUGUUUUUUUAUUUCCAUUUGUAUGAAUAACUUUUUUUUUUUUUAAAUGAUAAAUGUUAGUUGUUAUAUUUUGUUAGUGACUACUGACUGGGAAGAUGAGCUCACAAUCUUUUUAUCACUCCUUUGUCUGAAUAAUAUUAAUACGAUGUCCCUAUUUAAUUAGAAAAGAAAUCCUAGUGGACCUGGUAUUGCUUAAAUAACUAAUAGAAAUAUUGAUUGAUUUGUGAAUGAGUUACCACUUUCUUAGUAGUUAGUUACAACUCCCUUAAGAGUUUGUUAGUAGGUAUCUCUACUAGCUCUAUAUAUAGAUUAUCUCAUGUACGCAUUUACCAUCUAUUAUCAAUCAAUAUGAAUUCGAAGAAAUUUUUCUCAAUAUUAAAUUCUCAAGUUUACUUUUUCUAUGAGGUAAAUCCUAACUGUUUUGGAUCCUGUGAUUUGUAACAAUAAUUGUAUUGUAUGCUAAACAAUUUGAGGAAACCAUGUUAUAUAUUUCAUAACCAUAAUUGAUAUGAUGCAUUUCUUUGAUUGGGGGGCAGGGCAAGGGGUAUAUAUGAAUUCCGGUACAUAUAUGAGAUUAUUCAAGAGGUCUCUAAACAUGUUGCUUGCUCAAUUGGCCUAGAUCAUCGAGUAGAGAAAGUUAUGCGUUAUUUGAAUUCUAGUCCCAGAUCAGACGAUGAUGGAGUUUGUUUGGUAGGGAUAUGUGGAGUUCCUGGAAUAGGGAAAACGACACUAGCUCGUGGAGUUUAUCACUUCGGUGGUGGAACUGAAUUUGACUCUUGUUGCUUUUUUGAUAAUGUGGGAGAGUAUGUAAAGAAACAUGGAUUAGUACAUCUCCAACAGAUGCUUCUCUCUGCAAUAGUUGGACACAACAACAGUACUAUGUUUGAAAAUGUGGAUGAAAGGGUGUGGAAAAUAAAACAUAUGCUCAACCAAAAGAAGGUUUUCUUGGUUCUUGAAGACGUUCAUGAUUCUGAGGUCUUGAAAGCCAUUGUUAAACUGAGUACUUUCUUUGGUUCUGGUAGCAAAGUCAUCAUUACUGCAAGGGAGAAAUGUUUUCUAGAAUUUCAUGGCAUUAAAAGAAUAUAUGAGGUAGAAAGAAUGAAUAAGACAGAGGCUUUUCAAUUGCUUAAUUUGAAAGCUUUUGAUUCUAUGAACAUUAGUCCCUGUCAUGUGACCAUUUUAGAGGGUCUUGAAACUUAUGCUUCUGGGCAUCCAUUCAUAUUGGAAAUGAUAGGUUCCUACUUGAGUGGGAAAAGUAUGGAAGAAUGUGAAUCUGCAUUGCACCAGUAUAAAGAAAUUUCAAACAGAGACAUCAAGAAGAUUCUACAAGUAAGCUUUGACGCUUUGGAGAAAUCUCAGCAGAAUAUGUUAAUUCACAUUGCACUUCACCUCAGAGAACAAGAAUUGGAAAUGGUUGAAAACUUGCUUCAUCGUAAAUAUGGAGUGUGCCCGAAAUAUGAUAUUAGAGUUUUGCUUAAUAAAUCUCUCAUAAAGAUUAAUGAGAAUGGUCACGUGAUAGUACAUGUCUUGACACAAGACAUGGUUAGAGAUGAUAUUCCAGUAGAAGAUCUUGGCUAAAUUAGUAUGAUACGGUUGUUUGAGGUAAGAAUGAUAUGUAUUUAUAUUUUUAGCCCCAAUAUUUCUCUGUCCACAAUGAAGAAAUCGUUGUUUAAUAAUGUAACUUUGUUACCAAUGGAGCAGGAGCACGACAAGCGGCAAAUCCAACCUGCCUUCAGUGAUGGAAGCAUGAUCUAGGAUUCAAUGGAAUUGGAGUAUCAAUCAUCGGAGCAAUGAUGUCUUCCUCCUCUUAUCCUGAUGGUUCAUGGUGUUUCUUAGGAUCCACCCCCUUCUUUGAUGCAUUGAUCUCAUAAUUUGAGUUGCGUCUAACUUAAUUUUACAAAACCAGCUAGUAAGGUAAGAGGUAUCGCUCUUUAUAAACUCUUUUUCGGUCUUACUUCUAUUCAAUGUAAAACUUGGGUUUUUCCAAUACACCCCUCAAACCUAACACUAUUGAGCUUGGUGCGUAGAUAAUUUGAUGGGUGACUUGAAUGGAUAAACUCUGAUACCAUAAUAGAAUUUGAGUUAGGCUGAACUGAAAUUCUAAGAUGGUAUCCGAGACUAUUCAACAUCAAUUGAGUCACCUUCUAUCGGGCGACUCGAGUCACACUCCAGAUGUCUGGUGCUGAGUUUUAGGGUGUGUGUGUUAAGAGUUUUAUAUUGGAUGAGAUAUGACUUGAAAAUGAGGCUACAAGUGGAAGACAUCUCUAACUUUACAAGUUGGUUUUGUAGAGUUGUGUUAGGUCCAACCAAAAUUCUAACUUAUCACGAAUAUUCACUAGUUAAUUUAUGUGGAAACUUUGAUGUGAUUGUCCAUUUUACUCUUUUGAAUCAAUUAGUUACAUUAGCCCUUGAUUUUGUUGCCUGCUUCGUUGUAUGAUUUGUUGGGCUAUGAACCAUACUCACGGUUACAGGAGCAUGACACAAAGCAAGUGUGAACAUGUGUGUGUGAUCCUUUCAAAUUGAGAAUCUCCUGGUUAACUAUAAGCUUAUGAAGGGACAAAAUUCAAUCAGCUUUGUUAUUUUUCUUCUCAUCUUACAGACAGAAAUUGUGCAUGAAAAGGUCUCAUGCAGUUACCAGAGUCUAAAUUUCCUGAUCUGGUGUGUGAAGGGGAUUAUGAGAGGGAAUGCAUUUGAGAGAUAACGGAAGAAAUUUAGUGAUAAAAGAAAAUAUUUAACUGAAUGAGAAAAUAUACGGCAAUUAUAAUUUUAUAUCGACACAGGCAAUUAGAAAGUUAAUUACACUCUUUUCGAUUUCUUUUAUCAAGUAAUCUAGUGACUAAAAGUUCAUCCUUAAAGGUGAAUAAAUGGAGAAUUUAGAGUUUGAACGCUGAUCAUUACAUAUACGGUCAAACUAUUAUUGUAAUCAAAUUAUAUUUAAUUUAGAAACAAAAAUCAAAUUUUUAUUCAUAUUAAUGGUGGAAAAAAAAAAUGGAACAUUCAUUCAUUCAUGGAUAUAAAUAAGGCAUGCACAUUCUUACGUGGAUAUGUCCAAUGAAAUCUCAAUAGAUAAGAGCUUACCAUCAAACUCCAUUUCUUGGAUUGACAUGUGCUUAUGUUGACGUCACAUGCAAUUUUUCAACGGAUUCAUCAUGAAAUUUAUUCCAUAUGCUUAAUGAGUUCACACUUGCAUAACCUAAUAAUAAUACUAAGCUUCAUUUGCCAAAAAAAAAUAAUUGAAAAAUACUAAACUUCAUGGUAAAGUCCAAUAAGUGGUGUGGUGUACACAUUCAAGAAAUCCUGUUUUCAUAAAAAAAGUGAAUAUUUUAAUUUGAUCUCUCAUUGUUCAUUUAGACAAAACAAAUAAAAAUAUCAAAUUAGUCUCUUCACAUUUUCGUAUUAAGGGCAAAUUAUUUCAUUCAUUUGUUACAAUGAAUCACAUAUUAAUUUAUCUUAUGCAUAACAAUGUCGACCGAGACUAGUUUGAGUAUUAAUUUGUAAGAGACUAAAUUGAACCAUAACAAAAUUGUGAAGGAUUAUAUAUAUUUACUCUAAAAUAAUAUACUAUAUAAGUAAGCAACAAACUUAUUCUAAUCUAAAGUAUAUACAUCAUAACAGCUAAACAUUAGAUUACCGCACAAAUGCAUCCUUUGUGAUGAUCCUGGAGACCCUUUGUAUCUCUAAAUCUUUCUUACCUCUAGAAUGAAUUACUUCAAGUCCAGACACUCCUCCUAAUUCAUACUAGGGAGUCUCUUCAUCCCCAUAAGCUUUUUCAGUUCAUCAAACAUCGCCACCUUCAAUGGUUUGGUGAAAAUGUUUACAAGUUGCAUCUCUGUAUUUGCAAUACUCCAAAUCCAGCUUCAUCUUAUUUACUUGAUCUCUCAGAAAAUGGAAUUUUCUCUCGAUAUGCUAUCUUUUGCCAUGGCUUAUAGGACGAUCAGCCAAAUCAAUUGCUAACUUGUUAUCAACAAGCAACUUGAUUCUAUCAACUUCAAAUGCAUUCAGUUCUUCCAAUAACAUUUCAAUCCAUAGUGCCUGACAUGCUGCAUAAGAAGUUGCAACAUAUUUAGCUUCAGAAGAUGAUAAAGCUACUAUGCCCUGCUUCUUAGAACUCCAAGAGAUUGGAGCAGCACCAAUCAUGAAGAGGUAGCAUGUAGUACUCUUUUUAUCGUCUUGAUCUCCUUCUCAGUAAGAAUCUGAAUAUCCAUAGAUUGUUGCCUUCUUAUCAGUGUUCCUUUGAUUAGGAAUUAGCACUCCAUAAUCAAUUAUGUCUCUAUUGUAUCUCAAAAUUCUCUUAAAAGCUAUCAGAUGGAAAAUUUUAGGCUAUUCCAUGAACAUACUAACUAAUCCCACGCCGUGAGCUAUAUAUGGCCUUUUGUUGCACAUAUAUCUGAGUGGGCCUAUAAUUUGUCUGUAUAUAGUAGCAUUCAUAGGUUCAUCAUUUGUGUCUUCACUCAAUUUAGCACCUGCUGUUGGAAAUUUAGGUCUUAAUAUAAACAAAUUUCAUAAUACAUGUUCAACAAUUAUGAAUCAAUAGCGGAAGCAAACAAAACAUUGAACAUGAUUAUGAUCGGAUCUACGACAUGUUUGAUUUAUCAAGAUAUUAAGAAUUAGGGUAUUAGGAAUACCUGGAUAAUUGUGUCUUUUAUUGCCAAAAAAAUUAAACUAGACAUUGGAUAUUAUUCCCCAAAAAUAACUACACAUUAGGUACCCUUGUGCAAAAUUGUAAGUAAUGGAAGUAAUAAAUGAAUCUCGUAUAAGUCUUAUCACCUGUUUUUCUGUAACAAUUGUUGCUCCAAUAAUAUUUGUACAUUCAUUUUUCAAUCUAUUGCCAUCGAUAACCUUUUGAUCUAGGAUGAUUAGAAUGUUUGCUUCUGUUGAAUAGCGACUGGUCAGAAGUUGUAUACCUUUUGUUGGUGGCCUAAAGAACUAUUUAUAUGGCCGAUGAUAUGACUGCUGAUGUAGCCAUUGAGGGGCUGCUACGAAUAUGUAACUAUCAGCCGUUGCUUUGUGUUGAUGGUCAGAAGCCUUACGGAUCUGAAGGAUCCUAAGAGUGUGUUUGGAUGGGGGAAUGUUUUGAGGGAAUUAAACUAUUUGAGGUGAGUUCAAACAAUAAAAUUCACCUUGAAGUAGUUGAAUUCCCUCAAAACAUUACUUUCCCUCAAAAUAUUCCCCCAUCCAAACACACUCUAAGCCUUUAGACCAUUGGAGAAGUUGGUCCAGUAGAAUGUGGCUGAAGGUGUAACUAUUGAUGUAUUUGGGCCUAUGCUCGGUCCGGAGCACUUUGGGAUUUGUAUUGACCGAUUUUAGAGUCUUGGACCGGUUCAGAACACCUUUCACCAUGAUUAAGGUAGUGUCAGUGUCACAUGUUAAGUUAAUAUUUCAAGCACCACUCCAAUGCAUAGCACUAACUCUCCAUCUUCUUAAUUUGAUGAAGAACAAUAACAAAACCACAACCAAGGCCUGUAAGUUACACCAUUCCUCCUCGGUAGUUGCAGAAUCCAGGUUCUGCAUAAAUCACACCAAAAUUAAUGCAUUAUUUAUUCCAUGUACAUCAUCAUCACACAUUAAGUUAGCCUCACCCUCUUCAACUAUAAAAUUAGCAACACGAUCGCUGAAUACAUAUAUAUGGUUUUGAUGUUUUUUACUUUCUCUCAUUCUCAUCAUACACAAACACAGGUUUUUUUUUUUUUUAAAAAAAAAAAACCAAAAUAAUUUUAUUAGAUAAACUAAACAUACCACCAAAGGAGUACUUGGGAGUUGUUGUUUGUUUUUGUUGAUGUUGUUUUGUUUGUUCCAUGUGUACAAAACACUACUCAAUGGUUCUGUGUCUGUUCGUGAGCUUGCAUUAAUUUAUUUCCACGGUAACAUUUUGCUAAAUGAUACUAAUCAGGAGUGUGAUUCAUUUUUUCUGUCCUUCUCUUAUUUGAUCCAUCGCUACAAAUUAACAUGAAUAUAACAUGAAAAUUGAUUAUUUUCUCCUCUGGUUUCCUCUCUUUUCUCUGUUAUUUUUGUUUUUUUCUUCAUUAUUGUUUGUGUGAUCUAUGAUCUAGUAUGCUCUGCGUGAAAUUGUUUCAUCAUCUUAAUGUUUCUAGUUCUUGUUGUAUUGAUUUCUAAAUUGUUUUUAGGAUAUGAGGAUGAUUUGUUCUGGCUUAUAGGCUUGAAUCCAUGAUGAUUUUCUCUGCUUUGACUCUUCCUUUUGAUGAUUGAGCUUGGGAUAUGUCAUUUUAGAUUGAUUUUCUAUACUAUGACGGCGUAAACCUUUUUUGUACAAGCGUCCAAUUAAAUCAAGCAAAGUUGAUAAUUGCAGAGAUGUUGUGGGAACUAACUUAAAAUAGUGACAUCAUGAAGUGAUUUGAUUGGAUACAUGUGUAAAAAAGUUUUACAGUGUAUACAAAUCAAAUCCCAUUUUAAUAGAGAUUGAUUUCUAUACUCUGAUUGUGUACAUUUAAAUUUAUUUAUACUAUAAUUACAAAAAAAUGAAAGACAUUGAUACCUUUCUAAUUUUUGCUAGAAAAAAUAGAGUUAACAUAUACCAAGUUACGCGGUAUGCCAUUUUGUGGCAUGAGACGAGACAUCAUGGUAUGAGAUGCUAAUAGUCUCCAGAAAGGGCCUGGCUGAAGAGCUCCCCAACUUAGGCUUGAAAAGGAUGUUUUGGUGGUGUCAAGCGUCAACUAUAGUCGAUCAUAGUUUGGUCCAUUUCUGUCUCAAAACAUAUUGUCACAGUUUGCACUGCUCCUGACACUCAAAUUCCAAUUUAUGCAAACUCCAAGUGGCUUGCUUGGGCCAAAAGCCUUCAGAUAUUCUACCUUUAUCAGCUUCAGAGGUUCAGACACUCGAUGUGAUUUUAGUGGCUUCCUCAAUAAAUAUCUGAUUGAUCGUGGAUUCCGCACCUUCUUCGAUGACGGGGAGCUUGAAAGAGGGACCCAAAUAACGGUAGAAAUUCCUAAGGCAAUUGAAGAGUCCAGGAUUUUCAUCCCAGUUUUAUCAGAA